rnacentral:rRNA from 1 species
UACGUAGGUGGCAAGCGUUGUCCGGAUUUACUGGGCGUAAAGAGCGCGCAGGCGGUCGGAUAAGUCGAAUGUGAAAGCCCCCGGCUCAACUGGGGAGGGUCAUUCGAUACUGUUCGACUCGAAGGCAGGAGAGGGAAGUGGAAUUCCCGGUGUAGUGGUGAAAUGCGUAGAUAUCGGGAGGAACACCAGUGGCGAAGGCGACUUCCUGGCCUGUUCUUGACGCUGAGGUGCGAAAGCGUGGGGAGCAAACAGG